GGAGAUUUAGCUCAGUGGUAGAGCGCUUGCCUAGCAAGCACAAGGCCCUCCUGGGUUCGGUCCCCAGCUCCA
rnacentral:tRNA from 1 species